rnacentral:rRNA from 1 species
CCCUUAGAUGCUCUGGGCCGCACGCGCGCUACACUGGUCGAUGCAACGAGUUUCUUUCCUUGGCCGACAGGCCUGGGCAAUCUUUGAACAUCGAUCGUGAUCGGGAUAGAUUCUUGUAAUUUUUGAUCUUAAACGAGGAAUUCCUAGUAAACGCAAGUCAUCAGCUUGCAUUGAUUACGUCCCUGCCCUUUGUACACACCGCCCGUCGCACCUACCGAUUGAAUGGUCCGGUGAAGCGUUCGGACCGUGGCCUUUGGACGGUUCGCCGUCUGUUGGCUGCGGGAAGUUCGUUAAACCUUAUCAUUUAGAGGAAGGAGAANUCGUANCA